AACGUAGGACGCAAGCGUUAUCCGGAGUUACUGGGCGUAAAGGGCGUGUAGGCGGCGCUGCAAGUUCGUCGUGAAAGACCCCGGCUCAACCGGGGGAGGUCGAGGGAGACUGCGGCGCUGGAGGACGGUAGAGGGACAGGGAAUUCCGGGUGUAGUGGUGAAAUGCGUAGAGAUCCGGAGGAACACCAGUGGCGAAGGCGCUGUCCUGGGCCGCACCUGACGCUGAGCCGCGAAAGCCAGGGGAGCGAACGGG
rnacentral:rRNA from 1 species